rnacentral:rRNA from 1 species
AUUGAACGCUGGCGGCAGGCCUAACACAUGCAAGUCGAGCGGAUGACGGGAGCUUGCUCCUUGAUUCAGCGGCGGACGGGUGAGUAAUGCCUAGGAAUCUGCCUGGUGUCGGGGGCCAACGUUCCGCUAGGAAACCUAAUACAGCAUACGUCCUACGGGAGACAGACGGGGAGCUUCGGGCCUUGCGCUAUCAGAGGAGCAUAGGUCGGGUUACCUAGGUGGUGGGGUAAUGGCUCACCAAGGCGACGGUCCGUAACUGGUCUGAGAGGGUGAUCAGUCACACUGGAACUGAGACACGGUCCAGACUCCUACGGGAGGCAGCAGUGGGGAAUAUUGGACAAUGGGCGAAAGCCUGAUCCAGCCAUGCCGCGUGUGGGAAGAAGGUCUUCGGAUUGUAAAGCACUUUAAGUUGGGAGGAAGGGCAGUAAGUUAAUACCUUGCUGUUUUGACGUUACCGACAGAAUAAGCACCGGCUAACUCUGUGCCAGCAGCCGCCGUAACAC